UGCUGCAUGCGACUUUUAUUCCAAAUCACCAUACGGGGGGGGGGCGGGGGGGGCGAGGAGAAGGAGAAGACAAAUCUCUUCAGUCUUCUGAGAUUAGCAGGAGAAAGUAAUUUAGACAUGAGAGUUAAAAAAAAAAAAAAGAACAAAUGAAAGGGAUAGAGGACAAAGUAAGGCACAGAAGUAAGGUGCAGCAGCCACAUGAAGAAGAUACUGUUAUAAUGUAAGCGCAAGCCCUCCAAAGUGCUUCUGAAGGUAGAAAAAAGAAUUACAGAGGGAAAACUCACAGCCUGUGAUACAACAACACAGGUUUAAAGAGAAGGUCAGGAGUCAGUUCCUGCUCUGCUCUCUCACACAAAUAAUCCCAUUGACUUCACUGAGACAAAUCACAAAGGAUAAGACAAGUGAGAUUUAGCUCCAAAUGUUACUUUGUAUAACUACAACAUGUAAGUUUUGUACAUGCUGAACUGAAACAGAGAGUCUCUUAUGGAAUCACUUCCCCAUUUUAGUUUCAUUGAGAUUAAGAGCUCACAUUGAGGACCGAACACUGAAAGAGGAGUCAUCAGCUUAGAGCAAGAAACUGGGUUUUACCUGUAGCUCUGACACAGACUGCUGUGUGUAUGGUCAUGUCUACACUUAACGAUCCACACUGCUGAGAUUGGGGAGAUUUAGUGGGUCUAAUGAAGACCUGCAAAAAUUGACCGCAGAGCACUUUCCGGUCAACUCCAGUACUCCACCGGAACAAGAGGAAUAAGGGAAGUCAACCGCAGAGUGUCUCCAAUCGACGCAGCACAGUGUAGACACUGCGGACACCUGUAAACCCAGGUGAUACAGGAACAGAGCCGGAGAAGGAGGCCUGUAGAAAGCACCCAACUGAUGACUGAAGAUAAAAAGAUGGUUAUAGAAUCCUACCAAAAGCUCAAUGGAGUGAUCUAUCAAAUAAACCAUAUUUUCACUUAGGACCUUCUGGAAGUAUUCUCAUUCCAUUAACCUCCGUGGACAGUCCAUCAAAACAGAAUCUAGUCCCUAACAGGGAGUUGUAUUUCAUGAGGUACUCUUCAGGUCUUACGAUUUCCUGUUGGAUGGACUUUCAUUCUUUUGGAGUGGUGGCAUUUUUCAUAAACUAUGAAAUCUUUUCAGACAAAGUGUUAUCAUCUUGUUUCCCCCAUUUGGCAGCACUUUUACUGCUUUCUUCACUUCUGUCAUGUUUUUUGGUUUCCUGGGUGUUUUCACUAGUUUUUUAAGUCAUCUCUAAUUAUCUUUCACUAAUGUAUCAGUACUUUUAGAUUA